UCAACGUGGUGGCAUUUUCUGAGAUUGAGAAACUAAAUAUUUCACAAGAGAGCUGGGUUUAAAUAAAAAGUAUUUGAGAUGGUUUGUUUGGAGAAAGACAUAAGAUUUUCUUCUCUUUUAUGGUUGAUUCCUCCUGUAUAUGCAACCAAGGCUACAUCACUGUUCAUCCCAGGUGGUUGGGUUCCCAAAAGGAGAGAGGGAGAAGACAGAGAGGAAAAGAGGGCAUUCCCACCAGCUGAUCAGGGAAGAGCUGUGGGUGUCCAGGUGGCCUGUGUGGCCUCAUGUGUGACGGUGUUCACAGGGGUUCGUGGAUGAGGUAAGAGACGAGGAUCUGACUCCAUGUUUUAGAAAGCUUGAUUUAUUAUUUUAUUAUAUGUAUUACAUUAAAACUAUACUAAAAGGAUAGAAGAAGAAAAAGUUUCAUCAGAAGGCUAGCUAAGAGUAGAAAAACAAAGAACGAUAACAAAAGCUUCUGUCUCAGACAGAGUCCAAGCCAGCUGACUGUGAUUGGCCGUUAAUUAGAAACAACUCUAUGAGACCAAUCACAAAUCCACCUGUUGCAUUCCACAGCAGCAGAUAACCAUUGUUUACAUUUUGUUCUUGAAGCCUCUCAGCUUCUCAGGAGGAAAAAUCCUAAAGAAAGGAUUUUUCAUGAAAAGAUGUCUGUGAUACCCAUGGGCGCUGCUCCUGCGGUGACGGCUGCACAUGCCGUCAGUGGCGCUCGGACAGGAGGUGCAGGACCCUGGACAGAGUCGUGGUGAGGAUGGCAGUGAUGGGCUGGUGUCAAGACCCAGGACAUCCCUCUGGCUGUCCUGAGCAGCCAAGACCCCUGCCAGGUGGCUCAGAGACCCUGGCACAGAGCCCAAGAUGCCCCUGUGGGUUUGAUUAUGACCCAUGGAGCAAAUUACCAACCUUAGAUGAAGAUCUGCAAGCCAUGACAAAUUAAGUAGAAUGAUAAUGGAUUUAUCACAAGGUGAAAAAGUAGAUUUUGGGGUUUUUAGAAUGGGGAUUCAGGGGGGAAAGAUGGAGGGAACUGGGCGUGUCCAGCCUUUCUCCUUCUUCUUCUUGGCCUCCGUCUUCUGCUGUGAUGUUGGCACUUUUAGAUUGGUUUAGAGUAGAAGCUCAUUGUCUAACAUAGGUGACAGGUAUUGGAAAGUAAUUAUAAACAUUGUACAUGUAGCUUUUAGUAUAAAGACGUAACACUGCCCUGGGGACAGGCAGAGUGCCUUGGACUGUCUUGCUGAGCUGACCCUGGCAGGACAGGAGAAAGAAUUUUAUAAAUAAGAUACAUAAACAACCUUGAGAGCAAGAAAUGAAGAGCUCUGACUCCUUCUUCAAGUGCCGGGCUGGGAAAAGAGACUUUCCAACUCUUCUUGGGGUCACUCUGAGCAGCUAGAGAUCCUGACAGGUUGGGUCGGGGAGGGAGGGUUGAAUGCAGGCCAGGUAAGGGUGCAGGGGAGAAGUGGCAAUGUGUGGAAUCCUCUGAAUCUUCCCCCCUGAGGGAAAUCCCCAAAGCCUUGCCUUGGAGAGACUGGCCAUAGAGUCUUUCCCCACCUGGGCAGAGAGAAAGGACUUCCUCAUGGUGCUCUACAACACUACUGCCAGUCUACAUCAGAUUGCUUUCCCCAUUGGCCAGUUGAUCCUGCCCACCCCAAUUAUUCAUCCCUCAUCAUCCCCUACAGAUUGCUGCCCUUUGCCCUGCCCUUUGUACCACCUGUGUCCUCCCAUACUUAAGCUUGUGUACACCACGGGUCUUUGUCUUUUGUCUCUUGUUCCCCUUCGGCACGCUGAAAUAAACCUUGCUUGAACUUGUCGCCCUGAUUUUUA
ensembl:lncRNA